AGUGAACGCCCUCACGGGCUUUAUACUAUUCCAAACCUCUGUGAACCGUGCCCUUCGGGGCUAUUUUACAAACAUGGUGUAAUGAACGUCAUAUAUCAUAACAAAACA
rnacentral:misc_RNA from 1 species